rnacentral:rRNA from 1 species
CCUACGGGAGGCAGCAGUGAGGAAUAUUGGUCAAUGGACGAGAGUCUGAACCAGCCAAGUAGCGUGAAGGAUGACUGCCCUAUGGGUUGUAAACUUCUUUUAUAUGGGAAUAAAACGUUCCACGUGUGGGAUUUUGUAUGUACCAUAUGAAUAAGGAUCGGCUAACUCCGUGCCAGCAGCCGCGGUAAUACGGAGGAUCCGAGCGUUAUCCGGAUUUAUUGGGUUUAAAGGGAGCGUAGGUGGAUUGUUAAGUCAGUUGUGAAAGUUUGCGGCUCAACCGUAAAAUUGCAGUUGAAACUGGCAGUCUUGAGUACAGUAGAGGUGGGCGGAGUUCGUGGUGUAGCGGUGAAAUGCUUAGAGAUCACGAAGAACUCCGAUUGCGAAGGCAGUUCACUGGACUGCAACUGACACUGAGGCUCGAAAGUGUGGGUAUCAAACAGGAUUAGAUACCCCAGUAGUC